CCCAGGAGUCGGGGAGGUCCGGUAGCUCGGAUGCGCGCUAAACGCGGCUGCCAUUUUGGAGUCGGGCAGCUGCGACGGCGGCCGGGUCUGGACCGGGGGGAAAGGAGGAGCCAGUCAGUGCCUUGGCUCAGAACAGGUGCUCACAAAUGAGUGGUAAAUGAAUUGGUGAAUCCCUUAAUACCUGAAUCAGACCACCACAAAAGCAUCUCCAGCUGAAAUCUUGUUGGAAAGGCACCCAGCUGCCCAGCCCAGGAAACCACAGUAGUAAAACACUGAGAAGCCAAUCUCCUCUCCCAGCUGGCAUGAAUUAAUACCAGGUGUAUUGGCACACAGUCUUGGAGCUCCACUCAUCAAGAUGAGACCUUCUGUCCCCUCUUUUUGGCAAGUUAAAAUUUUAAAUGAAUGGAAAGAGGAAAUGUAAAGGAAGACCUUUGCCACCGCUUCUGAAUGAAGUUCUUUUAUUUCCAUCUCUCUAAAAUGAUCUCUCCUUGACUAUGAUUUAUUGUGUAAAUCUUUUUCAGCUCUAUCCUUGAUCUGCCAGUAAACAUCGUUCUCAAUGUCUGUUGAGGAUAUAUUAGGAUGAGAGUACCAAGCUCCAGGAAGACUGUAUCUACUUUCAAGAAAUUUAUGAUAAUUCAAAAAGUAUACUCAGGCUUUUCAAGAUGUCUUCCUAUUAUUGAGCACCUACUCAAUACCAUACUCAGCAUUUUCAUAUAUGCUGUCUGACUUAGUCCACACCACCCUGCAAGAUAGGUUUUUUAUUACCUUCCUUUCUUCAAGAUCUCAAAGACAGUAAAUGACAGAAUUGAGAUUCUAUAUGCAAAACACAGAUUUGGUGAUUGUAUACUCAUGGUGAAUGUGUCCACACUGGCAGAUGAAUAUA